rnacentral:rRNA from 1 species
UCAGGAUGAACGCUAGCUACAGGCUUAACACAUGCAAGUCGAGGGGCAGCAUGGAGUUGCUUGCAAACUCUGAUGGCGACCGGCGCACGGGUGAGUAACGCGUAUCCAACCUUCCCUAUAGUAGAGGAUAGCCCGGCGAAAGUCGGAUUAAUACUCUAUGUUUUCCGUUGCAGACAUCUAAGAUGGAACAAAGGCUUGCCGCUAUAGGAUGGGGAUGCGUCUGAUUAGGUAGUCGGCGGGGUAACGGCCCACCGAGCCAUCGAUCAGUAGGGUUCUGAGAGGAAGGUCCCCCACAUUGGAACUGAGACACGGUCCAAACUCCUACGGGAGGCAGCGGUGAGGAAUAUUGGUCAAUGGGCGAGAGCCUGAACCAGCCAAGUAGCGUGCAGGAUGACGGCCCUAUGGGUUGUAAACUGCUUUUAUGCGGGGAUAAAGUUCACUACGUGUAGUGUUUUGUAGGUACCGCAUGAAUAAGGACCGGCUAAUUCCGUGCCAGCCGCCGC